AUGUGGGUUGUGCGGUGGGGUCAGCUCUGCAGGGCGCUGUGGGGUUCUCGGGCUCCAGCCGCCUCUUCUCGGCCCCGUAGUGCAGAGCCCGGCUCCUUCCCCGCCCCACGCUGCUGGAGUUGUGGUAUCUCUCUCCCCGCUCCCGGGGGACUGCCUCGCUUCUGUCCGGCCUGCCAGGCCUUGCAGCCGCCGGAGUCCCAGCCUGACCUCUUCCGCCUGAUGGACUGCGAUCGCUCAUUCAACAUCAAUGUGCAGCAGCUGCAGCAGCGAUUCCGGAGCUUACAACGCUCCCUGCACCCCGAUUACUUCAGCCAGAGACCCCAGAAAGAGCGGGACUUCUCUGAUCAACACUCUUCCUUGGUUAACAGAGCCUACCAAACCCUUCUAAGUCCUCUGAGACGUGGAUUGUACCUACUGGAGCUGAAUGGAGUGGAACUGGCAAAAGGGACAGACCGUGACAUAGAUGUUGAGUUCCUCAAGGAAAUCAUGGAAAUCAAUGAGACACUGGCAGAACCUAAUAAUGAGGCUAAAAUAGAAGAGAUUGAAAGUUUCAUUGAAGUUAAACGAGAAGAAUUGACGAAGGAUGUAAGCAAAGCUUUUGAAAGAGGCAGGGUGACAAAAUGGUACCCUUUGGGACCCCACAAUUAACUGCACUUCGGGAAGAGGAGCAAUUGCUAACUACGGAGUGAGAUCUCUCCAAGAAAAGAGAACAAAGCCACUGAAGAGUAGCCUUCUCCACUCCUGCUAGGGUCUGCUGAUGAUCUUCAAGAAGCCAAGAAACUUCUAGCCAAAAUGAAAUACUUUGAAAACUUGGAGGACAAGGUGAAGAACAAGAAGAAUCCUUCCUGAUAUCACAUUCUUUGCCAUUAAGACCUGAUUCACUUUUGAUUAAAGUAGUGAUUUGUAGUUUCUGAUUCAGGAACUAAAAGCAGCACAAUCAUUGUGUGCCUCUUGAUUUUUUCGGUCCUUACUUACCUACUGAAACAGAAGAGUUGUGUAACAGACAUCCAUGUACCACCCAUUGUCAUUAGUUUGCAGUCUCGGAAGUGGAAUGUUGCUGGCAAUAAUGACCCUGUACUCCUGAAUUCCAACUGCUACCUUUGUGGCCACACUCCUUACUGUCAAUAUUUAUACAUUCUAUAUCUCAAACUGUAUAGCUACCUAUCCCUAGUGGACAAUAAAUGAGCAUGCAGAUCACUGUU